CAUUUGUGAUCUUAAUUUAAUUUGCACAACAACCUAAUGAGAUAUUUCCCCCACUUUUACAGGAAUAGAAGUAAGUAAAAAAGCAAAUAUUAUGUGUUUGGGCCCCAGAGAGAUUAUGUGACUUCAUCAGGAUAGUAUGGCUGCUCCUCCCACCAAGAAGUAGGAUCUAUUUCCUUGCUCCCCAGCUGGCCUUAAAACUUGCUUUUGCCAAUAAAAUGAAGUGGAAGUGAUAGUGUGUGCCAGCUAAAAAGGCCCUGUGUACUUCUGCUCUCUCGAAAUCCUGCCUGGCUGGACUAGCCCGUGCUAAUUUGCUGGGUAAGUGAUCAGUGGCCCAUCCCCCCACUUCACCAUAAUUAAUAACUCACUG
rnacentral:lncRNA from 1 species